UACGUAGGGGGCAAGCGUUGUCCGGAAUCAUUGGGCGUAAAGAGCGCAUAGGCGGCCCUGUAAGUCCGCUGUGAAAGUCAAGGGCUCAACCCUUGAAUGCCGGUGGAUACUGCAGGGCUAGAGUCCGGAAGAGGCGAGUGGAAUUCCUGGUGUAGCGGUGAAAUGCGCAGAUAUCAGGAGGAACACCGAUGGCGAAGGCAGCUCGCUGGGACGGUACUGACGCUGAGGCGCGAAAGCGUGGAGAGCAAACAGG
rnacentral:rRNA from 1 species